UGCCAGCCGCCGCGGUAAGACGGAGGGUGCAAGCGUCAAUCGGAAUUACUGGGCGUAAGGCGCGCGUAGGCGGUUAGUUAAGUCGGAUGUGAAAGCCCUGGACUCAACCUGGGAACUGCAUUCGAUACUGGCCAACUAGAGUACGAGAGAGGGAGGUAGAAUUCCACGUGUAGCGGUGAAAUGCGUAGAUGUGUGGAGGAAUACCGGUGGCGAAGGCGGCCUCCUGGCUCGAUACUGACGCUGAGGUGCGAAAGCGUGGGGAGCAAACAGGAUUAGAUA
rnacentral:rRNA from 1 species